CUUGUGCUCUCUCUGUCUCAAAAUAAAUAAACUUAAAAAAUAAAAUAAAAUAAAAAAGAAUGAUGUCGGGGGGCUGGGCAGCAGGGGUGUCAGGAUCAUGGGGACUCAGGAUUCGGGAAGCACAUGAUGUUUUCCAGCACUGUCUGCACACAGCCGCGCCGUUCUGGGCGUCAUUCAACGGCGGGCUUCUCCUUUCUCCUCCGUGAAACGAGGUUUUCUUUGGUUUUUGGUGACGACUGACUUUAUCUUCUCUCAGCUGCAGCAGUGGAUCACUCCCGUCUCCUGUGACUCUCACACGCUGCUGCCUCCUUCUUCUCAGUCCUGUGUGCAGAACAAGUCCCCAGAGAGAGACAGAGCGUGAGCGGGAAAGGGGCAAAGAGAGAAGGAGAUA